rnacentral:rRNA from 1 species
GACGAACGCUGGCGGCGUGCUUAACACAUGCAAGUCGAACGGAAAGGCCCUGCUUUUGUGGGGUGCUCGAGUGGCGAACGGGUGAGUAACACGUGAGUAACCUGCCCUUUACUUUGGGAUAACUUCAGGAAACUGGGGCUAAUACCGGAUAGGAGCUCCUGCUGCAUGGUUGGGGGUGGAAAGUUUCGGCGGUUGGGGAUGGACUCGCGGCUUAUCAGCUUGUUGGUGGGGUAGUGGCUUACCAAGGCUUUGACGGGUAGCCGGCCUGAGAGGGUGACCGGCCACAUUGGGACUGAGAUACGGCCCAGACUCCUACGGGAGGCAGCAGUGGGGAAUAUUGCACAAUGGGCGGAAGCCUGAUGCAGCAACGCCGCGUGCGGGAUGACGGCCUUCGGGUUGUAAACCGCUUUCGCCUGUGACGAAGCGUGAGUGACGGUAAUGGGUAAAGAAGCACCGGCUAACUACGUG